CAGUCGCCGCGGUAAAACGUGGGUGGCAAGCGUUGUCCGGAAUUAUUGGGCGUAAAGGGAGCGCAGGCGGGCAUAUAAGUCUUUCUUAAAAGUUCGGGGCUUAACCCCGUGAUGGGAUGGAAACUGCUGAUCUAGAGUAUCGGAGAGGAAAGUGGAAUUCCUAGUGUAGCGGUGAAAUGCGUAGAUAUUAGGAAGAACACCAGUGGCGAAGGCGACUUUCUGGACGAAAACUGACGCUGAGGCGCGAAAGCCAGGGGAGCGAACGGGAUUAGAUACCCCCGUAGUCCCUGUCUCUUAUACC
rnacentral:rRNA from 1 species